UACGUAGGAGGCAAGCGUUGUCCGGAAUCACUGGGCGUAAAGAGCGUGUAGGCGGCCCGACCAGUCCGCUGUGAAAGUCCAGGGCUCAACCCUGGAAUGCCGGUGGAUACUGUCGGGCUAGAGUCCGGAAUGGGCGAGUGGAAUUCCUGGUGUAGCGGUGAAAUGCGCAGAUAUCAGGAGGAACACCAAUGGCGAAGGCAGCUCGCUGGGACGUGACUGACGCUGAGACGCGAAAGCGUGGGGAGCAAACAGG
rnacentral:rRNA from 1 species